rnacentral:rRNA from 1 species
CAGUCGCCGCGGUAAUACGAGGGGGGCAAGCGUUGUUCGGAAUUACUGGGCGUAAAGGGCGCGUAGGCGGCCAUUCAAGUUAGAUGUGAAAGCCCUGGGCUCAACCUAGGAAUUGCAUUUGAUACUGUUUGGCUUGAGUUCGGGAGAGGUGAGUGGAAUUCCCAGUGUAGAGGUGAAAUUCGUAGAUAUUGGGAAGAACACCAGUGGCGAAGGCGGCUCACUGGACCGACACUGACGCUGAGGCGCGAAAGCGUGGGGAGCAAACAGGAUUAGAUACCCCAGUAGUCCCUGUCUCUUAUAC